UUAUUUAGAAAUAUAAAGAUUAGAGUAGUAAUAGUUAUGGUCUUGAAACUCAAAAAAUUUGGCGGUAUUUUAGUCUAUUCAGAGGAACCUGUAAUAUAAUCGAUAAUCCACGAUGGAUCUCACUUAAUUUUGUAUUUUAAUUUGUAUAUCGCCGUUAUUUGAAAAUUUUAUAAGAAAAAUAAUUUUCUAAAAUUUUUAUUAAAAAAUAAAUCAGGUCAAGGUGCAGUUUAUGAUUAAGUUUUAUAUGGGUUACAAUAAAUUUAUUUAUACGGAUUAAAAAAUGAAACAUUUUUAAGAAGGUGGAUUUGAUAGUAAAUUUUUAAAGAUAAAAAAAUUGAUU
rnacentral:rRNA from 1 species